rnacentral:lncRNA from 1 species
UAUAGUUCUAGAGAUUGGAUUUCACUCAAAACCCACCAAAUGACUCCUCCCACAAUAUUAUGAUGUUCCCCAAGUUUUGGACUCAAUCCAAUAUCGAUCGGUCCACGAAAUUUGACAAUUCAGGUUCGUACCAAGUACGUUCUGAAAUGGAGUGGUUGAUGUAUUGUAUAGUUCUAGGGAUUGUAUUUCACUCAAAACCCACCAAAUGAAUCCUCCCACAAUAUUAUGAUGUUCCCCAAGUUUUGGACUCAAUCCGAUAUCGAUUGGUUCUUGAAAUCGUACAAUUCAGGUUCGGAUGAAGUUUGUUCUGAAAUGGGGUGGUUGUUGUAUUGUAUAGUUCAAGAGAUUGGAUUUCACUCAAAUCCCACCAAAUGCCUCCUCCCACAAUAUUAUGAUGUUCCCCAAGUUUUGGACUCAGUCCGAUACCGAUUGGGGCUUGAAAUCGGACAAUUCAGGUUCGUACCAAGUUCAUUCUGAAAUGGAGUGGUUGGUGUAUUGUAUAGUUCUAGGGAUUGUAUUUCACUCAAAACCCAC